CCGCCCCUGGGCUGGGAGGAGGCGGCUCCGGCCGCGCGGGCGGCCUCGGGGACUGACCUUGGCUCCAGUACCUGCCGGGCGCCUAGGCCAGGUCGGCCUGGGGCAGGCGGGCGUCGGAGGGGCAGUUUUGAAGCCCGAGCGAAGAGGCAGAGGGCGGGAUGCGGACGAAGCCAGGGAGUUCACGAAACUUCUGGAGUGCUCAGUUUCCCCCUAAGUCGACUGGGGCUGGGUCCCGUGCCGCCAGGCGGGCUGGCUGAGGGGAUGGGCUGGGGCGACAAGACAGCAGCCACCUAGCCCGGGUACUUGGGGUCAGACCGGCUUCGAGGCCCCCGGACCGCCGUGUUAUCAGGACGGCAGCCAGAGGGACCCCGGGAAGAUGGGAGUGAGAGCUGCCUUCGUCUGCAAAAGUCUCCAGACACCACCUCACUGGUGAAGGCCAGAGACCCUAAACUGUCCCAAGACCACCUGACUGGGCUGCCUCCCUGCCACCUGGCUGCCAGCCUCUCUCAGAGCGCCUGCAAGCUAUUCCUCCAACCCAGAGUUUCCUUCCCAGCUAAGGGCCUUUGCACCUGCUGUUCCUUCUGCCUGGAAGUUCACCGCAGACUAUCCCAGGGCCUCCAUCCUUCCCAUUGCAUGGUCCCCAUCAGCUGCCGCCGCCUCUGAGAGCUCAGUCUCCACUGGCCAUCCUGUCUCUCAGCCCACUGCACUCUCCACUCUGCCAGAAAGUCCCCCAAUCAGUGACAACACAGGUCAUGGUCCACACCUCACCUGGUUUGUCCCCAGUGCCCAGCAUCUGGCACCGAGCAGGUCCGUGCAAAUCCUGGACAGGUGGGCAAGCUGAUGGUGUCCAGAGGCCCCUGGUCCUUAAGGGCAGGGGUGGGGAUGGCUCAGAGGACAUAACCUUGCAGACCCGGGUUCAAAUCUGGGCUCAUCAGCUCAUUUAGUCCUCACACAGCCCAUGUUGGGAGAGCUAGUGUUCUCCCUGUUUUGCUGAUGAGACACAGAGAAGGUCAGCAACUCCCGAAGAUUGCCCAGCAAGUUGGGAGUAAAGCUGGUGCAAUUCCCACGUUUAGCUGCUAAACAGGGUGUCCUGUACUUGGUGUGUUCAAGCAGAAAUCCACACAUGGGAAGGUCAAGGCAACAUCCCUGGUGCUCCAGCUUUGAGGUCCUAGGAAAAAGGGAACCUCCCAUUAAAUGCUUCUAUUGCCGGGAAGUUCAGCACCUGUAAAAGCAGCCCCUUCCCAUUUCACUGUGGCUGCUUUUUAAUUCUUAUUUUUUAAAUGUUUAGCUUAAGGCCGGGCACAGUGACUCACACUAUAAUCCCAGCAAUUUGGGAGGCUGAGGCGGGAGGAUCACUUGAGCCUAGGAAUUCAAGACCAGCCUAGGGAGUCGGGAGCAAAGGAGGAGGCUCCUCCAUGCUGGAUUCAUUUCAGUUCUCAGACAUUCACCGAGUGCUGACCACAUGCCAGGGACUUACACCCACCCACCAAGUCCACACUGAGCCCUGCAGAGGAAUCCCUGACACCCCCAUUUUGCAGAUUAGGAAGCAGAAGCUAAGCGAAAGCAGAAUCAAGAUUCAAACCCAGGCACGGUGAAACCAGAGCUGUCCAACUGCUAGGAGAAAACAGGGCCUCAGAGAUGAUGGCUGAGCCAUGAAAAGGUGGGGUCAGAAGCCAGGCCCAGUCUCCUGAAUUCCAGACUCCAGAAUCUCCCCCAGGAUUGAGUGGCAGUGGCCCAUUCUGAGCGAGCUUGGACCCUCCUCCUCAGUGCCUGCCUUCCGUGUGUACCAAGCCCUGAAGGGCAGAGGAGGGCCAGCCCUCCGCAGUGUGGCAGGGCUCUGGCGGAUACACCUGCCUCCCAUCUGCAGAAGGACCUUCCUCAGGUGUCCGGCACACUUCUCAGGAGGUCCUGAAACCAGCUGAGACCUCCAUAACACACCUGUGUUGGCUCCCUCACCUGGUCAUCACAAAUAAACCACCUGCACCAAU